rnacentral:rRNA from 1 species
UACACACCGCCCGUCACGCCACGAAAGUGGUCUUAACCAGAAGUGAGUGAGCUAACUUCGUGAGGCAGCUUACCAAGGUUGAGGCCGUGAUUGGGGCG